AUUCAUCUUCGGGGUCGGGUGAAAGUCCCAACCGGCAGUAAAUUAAGCCUGCGACCUGUAUUUAUUUUGUAAAUAUGGCUGAUCUAGUGAGAUUCUAGAGCCGACAGUAUAGUCUGGAUGGGAGAAGAUGGAG
rnacentral:ncRNA from 2 species